rnacentral:rRNA from 1 species
UACGAAGGGGGCUAGCGUUGCUCGGAAUGACUGGGCGUAAAGGGCGCGUAGGCGGCUCAUACAGUCAGAUGUGAAAUUCCUGGGCUUAACCUGGGGCUGCAUUUGAUACGUGUGGGCUUGAGUGGGGAAGAGGGUCGUGGAAUUCCCAGUGUAGAGGUGAAAUUCGUAGAUAUUGGGAAGAACACCAGAGGCGAAGGCGGCUACCUGGACAAUUGCUGACGCUCAGGCACGAAGCG